rnacentral:rRNA from 1 species
GAUCCUGGCUCAGGAUGAACGCUGGCGGCGUGCCUAAUACAUGCAAGUCGAACGCUUCACAUAUGUGAAGAGUGGCGAACGGGUGAGUAAUACAUAAGUAACCUGGCCUUUACAGGGGGAUAACUAUUGGAAACGAUAGCUAAGACCGCAUAGGUGUCAUAACCGCAUGGAGAUGAUAUGAAAUAUGCUACGGCACAGGUAGAGGAUGGACUUAUGGCGCAUUAG